UACGAAGGGGGCUAGCGUUGUUCGGAAUUACUGGGCGUAAAGGGCGCGUAGGCGGUACUUCAAGUCAGGCGUGAAAGCCCCGGGCUCAACCUGGGAACCGCGCUUGAGACUGGCAUGCUCGAGUUCGGGAGAGGAUGGUGGAAUUCCCAGUGUAGAGGUGAAAUUCGUAGAUAUUGGGAAGAACACCGAUGGCGAAGGCAAUCCCCUGGACCUGUACUGACGCUCAUGCACGAAAGCGUGGGGAGCAAACAGG
rnacentral:rRNA from 1 species